ACUCCUACGGGGAGGCAGCAGUGGGGAAUAUUGCACAAUGGGGGAAACCCUGAUGCAGCCAUGCCGCGUGUGUGAAGAGGGCCUUCGGGUUGUAAAGCACUUUCAGUAGGGAGGGAAGGUAGUGUAGUUAACACCUGCAUUAUUUGACGUUACCUACAGAAGAAGCACCGGCUAACUCCGUGCCAGCAGCCGCGGUAAGUACGGAGGGUGCGAGCGUUAAUCGGAAUUACUGGGCGUAAAGCGCAUGCAGGCGGCCUGUUAAGUCAGAUGUGAAAGCCCGGGGUCUUAACCUCGGAAUUGCAUUUGAAACUGGCAGGCUAGAGUCUUGUAGAGGGGGUUAGAAUUUCAGGUGUAGCGGUGAAAUGCGUAGAGAUCUGAAGGAAUACCGAGUGGCGGAAGGCGGCCCCCGUGGACAAAGACUGACGCUCAGAU
rnacentral:rRNA from 1 species